rnacentral:rRNA from 1 species
CAGUCGCCGCGGUAAUACAGAGGGUGCAAGCGUUAAUCGGAAUUACUGGGCGUAAAGCGCGCGUAGGUGGUUUGUUAAGUUGGAUGUGAAAGCCCCGGGCUCAACCUGGGAACUGCAUCCAAAACUGGCAAGCUAGAGUACGGUAGAUGGUGGUGGAAUUUCCUGUGUAGCGGUGAAAUGCGUAGAUAUAGGAAGGAACACCAGUGGCGAAGGCGACCACCUGGACUGAUACUGACACUGAGGUGCGAAAGCGUGGGGAGCAAACAGGAUUAGAUACCCCCGUAGUCCCUGUCUCUUAUAC